rnacentral:rRNA from 1 species
GGCGGCGUGCUUAACACAUGCAAGUCGAGCGAGAAAGUCCUUCGGGAUUAGUACAGCGGCGGACGGGUGAGGAAUACAUAGGAACCUGCCCUUUGGUGAGGAAUACUCUUGAGAAAUCGAGAAUAAUACCGCAUACGUCCCUACGGGGAGAAAGGCGGCUUUAAUGCUGUCGUCAAAGGAUGGGCUUAUGUGCUAUCAGCUAGUUGGUGGGGUAAUUGCCUACCAAGGCUAUGACGGCUAACCGGCCUGAGAGGGUGUACGGUCACACUGGAACUGAGACACGGUCCAGACUCCUAGGGGAGGCAGCAGUGGGGAAUAUUGCGCAAUGGGCGAAAGCCUGACGCAGCGACGCCGCGUGGAGGAUGAAGGUCUUAGGAUUGUAAACUCCUGUUAAGUGGGAAGAAAAACCUAUCAGUAAUAUGGAUAGGUUAUGACGGUACCACUAGAGAAAGCACCGGCUAACUUCGUGCCAGCAGCCGCGGUAAUACGA